CAGCUGGACAGAUUCAUAACCAAACUCAAAUCCACAAUAUGCUCUGCCUUUAGAAAAAGGCUCUUUAGACAUUACAUUACUAGAAGCCGACCAAUAUCAGAAUCUUUACUCCAUUAUACCAUUAUAGGGUUCAUGAGCCUCUAUAUAUAUAUAGAUGAAUCAACAUUUACACUACCACAUACAGAUUUAUACUAGAGUCACCUAGACACUGAUCUUUGAAUCGAAUUUGAUCUUUCGUCUCAAGUUAGGUCAUAGCUUCUGCUGUUUCUUCCCCAAGAUGGCCAAGAAACAGGCACAAGAGAACCAACCUCCAGCAGGAUACCCAACUGCAUCUGAGAAUCCCCCAACUGGGAAGAAGUUUAGGCCUCGGACAAAAAAGAAAGGAGACAGGGGCUUUAUUGAGGGAUGCCUCUUCGCCUUAUGCUGCUGUUGGCUUUGUGAGGAAUGCUUCUGAAUUUACCAUAAGCACGACUACCAUAAUAGCUUCCUAGCUUACUCUUGUAUCUUUGUUUAGCUUGGGGCGGUUGCCUGACUGUUAUUAUUUUUCCCUGUGUAUCCACAUAUUGUAAUAAUAUACCAUCAUAUUUUCCUUUUCUGC